rnacentral:lncRNA from 1 species
AGGAAAAACACAUAGAAGGGUAGGUCAGUGGAAUCAUGCAUGCAGGGCAAUGGGUUGUUGACAUAAGUUAGAGCGCAUGCACCUUUACGUCUUCAUCUCCAAAUUUCCUGUUUUUUUUUAUUUUUAUUCAAAUAUAAUCUUUGGCUGCCUUUUAGUGUUACUUUUCCAUCAUGAUCUUUCCCUUACAUCUAAAACAAUUCUUCAUUUCUUUUUUUAUUUUGCCUUGAAAGCUUCAACGGCGAGGAUUUUAGUUGUAGGUAGUGGCUGCGGUGAGCGUAAUCACAACAUUGGUAGUAGAUCUUCAUGUUUUCAGGUUACAAUUUCGCUCCUAUUGUUUUUCAACUGGUUAUUGAUCAUCGUUACAUUCUCCUAGGGGCCACAAUAUAAUUACACUCUUUUAAUCAUAAAAAAUUUUAAAGUAUUUGUCUAACAAUGUGUAUUUAAUCUUUAAAAACAACUAUUAAUACAAUGAUUAUCCAAAUACUUUUAAAAUAAAACAAUAGUUAUCUAAAUAUACCACACAUGCAUAAAUACUCUUUUAGUUUGAUGCUGAAUGUUUAGAUAAGUGAUAAAGGAAAAGGAAAGGAAAGCGUAUAUUAAAAUUAACAACAGAAAAAAUAUGAAUAAGUGGUUAGAUGAAUUGAGGGUGGGCAUUUUUCUCAUGCAUUUAAAUCAAAUGGAAAGGUUUUAUCAUAACAACACUAAAUGAAUAAAAACAACUUUCCAUAAAAGUCUACAUUAAUGUAAAAUUCUAUAUCCUCCAUAUUUUUUUAAUCAUCUAGCUGUUGAAUUUAUUGAUAUAAUUGUACUUGUCAUGCAUGUAAAUUUUCGAAUCAAUCCAAUAUAUCUAUCAUAUAGAUUUAAAAUACAAGAUAUAUUAAAUUUAUUGAAUGAAAUAGUUAAAAAUUUUUAAUUUAUGUUACAUUUGAAAUAUAAUAUAUAAAAAUAAAAUAUAAAAUAUAAGUGUUAAAUUAUUAAAAAAUAAUUGGUGCAAACAAUGUAUAAAAUUAUUUUAAUGUCAACUUAUGCAUGCGGAUCCCUGGUGUGUAUUUAUAUGCGUACUUGGACAUGGAUGCCACCUACUUUAAGCACAGCAAACUUUCACAUGUGUCUGUUAUCUGCCAUUCUCAGCUUCUAAAGUCACCAACCUUAUUAAACUUAAUUUUCACAUAUCUUUCCAUAAAUUUACAAUAAAAAAGUAGAAUAAUUUCGGAAGUAAUAUAAAAAGUUCAUUUUGAAAAUGUAAUUCAGAGAAAGUGCCAAGGAUCCAAGAUUUUCCUUGCUAUUCAAUCAACGAGGGUUGCUAAUUUUCCUUUUAAACUUAUUUACUUUUUCAGGCAUCCUCAAUAUAUAAAUUUUAUCACGUAUUAUUAUUAAAUUAAACAAAAAAAUAUAAAGACUUGUAAAUAAAUAUAAAUAAAAAUAUUUUUAUUUAAAAAUAAUUAAACAUUAACGGUAACUAUUAUAAAUUAAUAUUAAUAAUCCUUGGGUUUAGGAUGUUGAGUUUAAGGGUUUAAGUUUUAGAUUUUAGAUUUUUUAGCAUUUUUUAUAAUUAAUUAUUAUUCAAUUAUGUUUAAAUAAAGUUAUUAGUAAUUUUUUGUAGGUUCUCUAUUAUUUUUGUUUUAUUUAAUGAUGAUGUAUCAUUUUAUUAUUCAUCCAUGGUGCAUGAGACUUAUGCAUGGAUAAUGCAUCAAAUAUUUUUUUUAUUUUUUUAUUUAAAUUGAUAUGUGGUAAUUGAGAGCUAUUUUCAUGAGUUUUUAUAUAAUCUUUUACAAUAUUUUUUUCAAUAAACGAUUAAUUUUUCAUUAAAGUUUUAACAUUUAAUAUUUACAUAAUCAUAUUAAAUUUUCAAAAAACAAUUGAAUAAUUUUAAAAAUAUUAAGGUGAUUUUGUUUUCAAAGGAACUUAGAUUUAAAAUAAAUUAUGUCUCUUUUGUUUAAGGAAAAAAAAAAGGAAAUAUUCAACAUUGAAAAUAAUAUUGUUGUUAGAGAUUAAUCUUUGUGGACUAAAACAUACAUGAAAAAUACUUUGAUUAUUAAAAAAAAUUUUAAAUUAUUAUAUUUAAAUUUUAGUCAAAACUAUAUAAAAUAAUAUAAAAUUUUAUAUUAAAAAUAAAAUUUAUGAAAUAAAUAAUUUUUUAAAAUAAAAAUUUAUUACUAAUUACAUUUCAUAUUUAAUUUUUACUAAUAUAACAUUAAUUAUGUACAAAUUUAUAUUUUCAAACAUAAGCGAAGAGAGUACAUUAAUUUAGGGGCUGAUACAAGCCAAGGUAGAUCUAAUGUUUUCUUAAAACAAACAGUUCUUUGCUUAACAAUUAACACAACCAAAGAGACGAAAACUACAUACAACAACCACCACCCAAGCAUACAAAUGAAACCUAUACUUUCUAAUCCAUUUUCAAUUUAUAAUAUGAAAUGUAAAACCAAAAUGCAUCUACUACUUUGGCAGCUUUGCUAAGGAUGCUGCUGGUGAUGAUUGAAGUAGUUUUGGGGGUUCCCAAACUCCACCAUUGGAGACAUGAUUUCAGCUUCCCAAAGUUCGCCAUUAUUAGAUUGCUGCUGCUGCUGCUGAUUGUCGGUAAUCAAAGAAUCCAGAAACAAAGAGAACAUAUGGUCUUCGUUGCCAUUUUCAACCAAGUCUCCCCCGUUCCCGCUGCUGCUUGGCUGCCCCAUGCAAUCGUCACCAACCUCUUGUUGGUGUUGAUAUAUCUGAUGAGAUUCCAGGUUAGUAGUUUCCAUGGAAUUAGUUUUUUCUCCCAUUAAUUCAGAAGAUUUGAAGGAGCUUGGGGGGUUAGGGUUUGAUUCUGGGACAUCAUCAUCAUCAUCCUGGUUAGCUUGUGAUGAACCAUGGCUAACAGGGCUUAAUGGUUUAUGGGUUCUUGGAUCUAUUCCUUGGCUGAUUAAAUUCUUGCUUAGAUGGGUAUUCCAGUAGUUCUUUAUUUCAUUAUCUGUUCGUCCCGGAAUCCUCCCAGCUAUCAAUGCCCACCUGGAAAUAUUCACAGUGUAAGAACCCUUAAUCUUACAGUCCAUAUAUUCAUAUGCGUAUAUAUAUAUAUGUGUGUGAUAUUGCUACUUGCUAGUACCUUCAAAAAAAGCCAGAUAUGAAUCAUUGGAAUUAACUUGCAAGAAACCCUAAAAGGGAAUCAAAAGAAAAACCUCGAAAAUAAGCGUCAUGAGUAUGAAUAUCAGGAAGAGAUGACCUGUUUCCGAGCAAGCGAUGAAGACGAAGAAUGAGAUCUUCUUCAUCAGGAGCAAUAGGACCUCGUUUAACGGUGGGUCGGAGAUAAUUCAUCCACCGGAGACGACAACUCUUCCCACAUCUAAGCAAACCAGCUCGUU